GUGCCGAUGGGUGAGUGGUUGAAACCACCAGACUGUAAAUCUGGCCUGUAAAAAGCGCGCUGGUUCGAAUCCGGCUCGGCACA
rnacentral:tRNA from 1 species